AUCAUUUCCCUUCCACCUUCCUCCUCGCCGCUUCCUCUCCCUCCACCGCGCAGCUCCAGCCGCCUUGCCGCCGCCGCAUCCCCUUCCAAGUUCAGGCUGUGGGUGGAACCUGUUGCUUUAGCUCACGUUUCCCUUCCCCUCCGGGCUGCACGCUGAGGAUGACCUCAGCGAGGUGUGUGUAAGGGGAAUGGAGGGUUUGGCUUCCUUGAGACAGAGGAUCUUGCUCGCCUCAAAGAGGAGGGCAGUUUGCCCCCUUCCUCCUGACUCCAAGACAAAAGAGAGAAGACUGAAGAGUGGUAAAGCUUGUGGUGUGAGAUUUGGAUUGUUGGAAGAGGUCAAAGGAAUAUCUUUAAAAGGGAUCCAGGGCCUCUCAGAGUUCACCUGAGCUUUCCCAAGUCUGGUUUGUUCUCUCUACCCUGCUGCUACUACUGCAAGUGACUUUCACAAGAUGCUUCUGAGCAUAGCAUUGCUCUGCUGUGACCACUGCAGAUGUCAAGAGAAUUUCUGCCUUUUGGAACUUGGACAAUAUUGGCCACCUACCCAGAGAGAGGAGAAGGAUAAUCCAGACAUAAAGGUAGCUCCCACACAUCCUUUGGAUCUCUGAUAAAGAGUCAUAUACUUAAAGAGCCAUCCUCACAUUCCUGCCCAGACUGUGAGCUGCAUGAGAGAGGCCAUGUCUCAUUUUGUUCCAUUACAUCUCCAGCACUUAAGAGUGCUGGACACAUAACGAGUGUCUGACACAUAACGAGUGCUGAAUAAAUGUUUGUUAACUGAUAAAAUG
rnacentral:lncRNA from 1 species